rnacentral:snoRNA from 1 species
CCCAGCCGUGGGCAAUGACCUAGGUUGCACUGUACCCAGGCCAGUGUUCCACUGCUGGGAGAAAAGCAACUAAUGGCUGGUGGGCAUCCUGGGCCUGGGUAAUGCCAAAUCUGUGUUAACCAUACCAGUGUGCCAGCAGA